rnacentral:misc_RNA from 1 species
GGGCCAUCGCCAUAGACGAGAUGCACUAUGGUCAGUGUAAACAAACAAAACGGUGCAUGGCCCUGUGACCUUAGAUGACCGUGUGAAGGUCAACGGACUAGGCCAGUCCUUGUGUGUUUGACCCCAGAGACAGGAAGCUGAUGCUGUGAUAUUAUUGUUGUAUAUUUUUAUUUAUUUGUGCAAUACACGUUUGACGUGAUAUCUCCAUUGUUAAUAAAAUAUUUUUUUGAUAAAUCC